rnacentral:rRNA from 1 species
AGAGUUUGAUCCUGGCUCAGGACGAACGCUGGCGGCGUGCUUAACACAUGCAAGUCGAACGGUGAAGUCCCUUCGGGGGCGGAUCAGUGGCGAACGGGUGAGUAACACGUGGGCAAUCUGCCCCUCACUGUGGGAUAACUCCGGGAAACCGGGGCUAAUACCGCAUAUGAAGCCUGGCGGCAUCGCCGGGUUUGGAAAGUUUUUCGGUGAGGGAUGAGCCCGCGGCCUAUCAGCUUGUUGGUGAGGUAAUGGCUCACCAAGGCGACGACGGGUAGCCGGCCUGAGAGGGCGACCGGCCACACUGGGACUGAGACACGGCCCAGACUCCUACGGGAGGCAGCAGUGGGGAAUAUU